rnacentral:rRNA from 1 species
CCCGGCACAAGCGGUGGAGUAUGUGGUUUAAUUCGAUGCAACGCGAAGAACCUUACCUGGUCUUGACAUCCCGGAGACCCUUAGGAAACUAGGGGGUGCUUCCAUCUGGAAGAAUCUGGAGACAGGUGCUGCAUGGCUGUCGUCAGCCCGUGUCGUGAGAUGUUGGGUUAAGUCCCGCAACGAGCGCAACCCUUGCCUUUAGUUGCCAGCAGUUCGGCUGGGCACUCUAAAGGGACUGCCGGUGUUAAACCGGAGGAAGGUGGGGAUGACGUCAAGUCCUCAUGGCCUUUAUGACCAGGGCUACACACGUACUACAAUGGCCGAUACAAAGGGCAGCGACACUGCGAGGUGAAGCCAAUCCCGUAAAAUCGGUCUCAGUCCGGAUUGGAGUCUGCAACUCGACUCCAUGAAGUUGGAAUCGCUAGUAAUCGUGGAUCAGCAUGCCACGGUGAAUACGUUCCCGGGCCUU